rnacentral:rRNA from 1 species
UGCGCAGGCGGGGCAAUAAGUCAGUGGUGAAAUCCUGCGGCUUAACCGUAGAACUGCCAUUGAUACUGUUGCCCUUGAGUAUAGUUGAGGUGGGCGGAAUAUGUAAUGUAGCGGUGAAAUGCAUAGAUAUUACAUAGAACACCAAUUGCGAAGGCAGCUCACUAAGCUAUCACUGACGCUGAGGCACGAAAGCGUGGGGAGCGAACAGGAUUAGAUACCAUGGUAGUCC